rnacentral:rRNA from 1 species
AGUGAACGCUGGCGGUAGGCCUAACACAUGCAAGUCGAACGGCAGCACAGUAAGAGCUUGCUCUUACGGGUGGCGAGUGGCGGACGGGUGAGGAAUACAUCGGAAUCUACUUUUUCGUGGGGGAUAACAUAGGGAAACUUACGCUAAUACCGCAUACGACCUACGGGUGAAAGCAGGGGAUCUUCGGACCUUGCGCGAUUGAAUGGGCCGAUGUCGGAUUAGCUAGUUGGCGGGGUAAAGGCCCACCAAGGCGACGAUCCGUAGCUGGUCUGAGAGGAUGAUCAGCCACACUGGAACUGAGACACGGUCCAGACUCCUACGGGAGGCAGCAGUGGGGAAUAUUGGACAAUGGGCGCAAGCCUGAUCCAGCCAUACCGCGUGGGUGAAGAAGGCCUUCGGGUUGUAAAGCCCUUUUGUUGGGAAAGAAAAGCAGCAGGUUAAUACCCCGCUGUUCUGACGGUACCCAAAGAAUAAGCACCGGCUAACUUCGUG